GUACCAGUAUUGAGUCUUCCUAUAUUUUUAUAGAAGAGUUAAUGUUAGAACUAGUAACGCAGAAUUUUUUCUCCCCAUGUAAGUGUAAAUCAGAUCGAAUAAAUCACUGAUAAUUAUGCGGCAAUGAAACUAAUGUAACAACAACCCCACGAAAACCCUACUACUUCCCCCGUUAACCUAACACAAGAACAUUAAAGAAAGAUUAAAAGAUAAAGAAGGAACUCGGCAAAGCUAAGUCCCGCCUGUUUACCAAAAACAUCGCCUCUUGAAAAUUAUAUGAGGUAAUGCCUGCCCAGUGACCAUAAAUUCAACGGCCGCAGUAUUUUAACCGCGCGAAGGUAGCGUAAUCACUUGUUUUCUAAAUAAAGACUAGUAUGAACGGCCACACGAGGACUUAACUGUCUCCUUUAUCCAAUCAGUGAAACUGAUCUCCCCGUGCAGAAGCGGGGAUAACACCAUAAGACGAGAAGACCCUAUGGAGCUUUAAACCAAACUAACUAUCUUUUUCUUAACCCCAAGGGAUUAACAAACACAAGAUACUAUUAAUGUAUGUUUUAGGUUGGGGCGACCAUGGAGAAAAACUUAACCUUCCUGACGAUUGAUAAACCAAGAGCUACAGCUCUAAAUAUUAAGACACUUAACCCUUAUUGACCCACUUUGUGAUCAACGGACCAAGUUACCCUAGGGAUAACAGCGCAAUCCAUUUCAAGAGUCCCUAUCGACAAAUGGGUUUACGACCUCGAUGUUGGAUCAGGCACCCAAGUGGUGCAACCGCUACUAAAGGUUCG
rnacentral:rRNA from 1 species